rnacentral:rRNA from 1 species
AUUGAACGCUGGCGGCAGGCCUAACACAUGCAAGUCGAGCGGAUGAAGGGAGCUUGCUCCUGGAUUCAGCGGCGGACGGGUGAGUAAUGCCUAGGAAUCUGCCUGGUAGUGGGGGAUAACGUCCGGAAACGGGCGCUAAUACCGCAUACGUCCUGAGGGAGAAAGUGGGGGAUCUUCGGACCUCACGCUAUCAGAUGAGCCUAGGUCGGAUUAGCUAGUUGGUGGGGUAAAGGCCUACCAAGGCGACGAUCCGUAACUGGUCUGGGAGGAUGAUCAGUCACAACGGGAACGAGAACCGGGUCAGAAUUCUAAGGGAAGGAGGAGGGGGGAAUAUUGGACAAUGGGCGAAAGCCUGAUCCAGCCAUGCCGCGUGUGUGAAGAAGGUCUUCGGAUUGUAAAGCACUUUAAGUUGGGAGGAAGGGCAGUAAGUUAAUACCUUGCUGUUUUGACGUUACCAACAGAAUAAGCACCGGCUAACUUCGUG